AACGAACGCUGGCGGCAGGCCUAACACAUGCAAGUCGAACGCCCUAGCAAUAGGGAGUGGCAGACGGGUGAGUAACACGUGGGAACCUUCCCUAUAGUACGGAAUAGCCCAGGGAAACUUGGAGUAAUACCGUAUACGCCCGAGAGGGGAAAGAUUUAUCGCUAUAGGAUGGGCCCGCGUUGGAUUAGCUAGUUGGUGAGGUAAUGGCUCACCAAGGCGACGAUCCAUAGCUGGUCUGAGAGGACGACCAGCCACACUGGGACUGAGACACGGCCCAGACUCCUACGGGAGGCAGCAGUGGGGAAUAUUGGACAAUGGGCGCAAGCCUGAUCCAGCCAUGCCGCGUGAGUGAUGAAGGCCUUAGGGUUGUAAAGCUCUUUUGGCGGGGACGAUAAUGACGGUACCCGCAGAAUAAGUCCCGGCUAACUUCGUG
rnacentral:rRNA from 2 species